UCAUAGCCAUGGGCUUUAAAACUCAAUCUCAUGAUCUAUAUAGGACUACUCUUCUAUCGAGGUUGAUAGAUCCUAUCUUGGUGUGAUUCAAUUCCUAUAACGAACAUACUACAGCCAACAUACAACUCAAAGCUCCAUAUGGCUAGGAGACUGAGUUAUGGUAUAGUCAAACUACAGCAUCCUCAAAAUGAACUGCUGAUGCACCUCAGGUCAGAGAACUAAACAUACCACUGCAGCUAUAAGUAAGUCACUAACGAGAAGGUAGAUAUCUU
rnacentral:lncRNA from 1 species